GUGCGUGGUGAGGUCGACUCGUAGCAGCGGUGUUCCGCAGGCUGGAUCUUGCAGCACCUGACUGUGCUCGCGGCAGGACUCCUGGACCAUCCACCGCCCUAACUGACCCAGCAGCCCACUCUGUUUGGCCAGCGCGAGGCAGCGUGGAUGGUUCAGCACGGUGCCGUCGGUCCGUUCCCAACGCAGCAACGACUGAAUCGCGGCGANCCGCCCGCUGUCCAGUUGGCAGACCGGCUGGUAGUGCAGCGUGAUCUCGCCAUUCUCGAAGGCGCCGGGCAUUCCAGCCGCCGCGGU
rnacentral:rRNA from 1 species